GAAGUGAUUCAGUCAGGAGGGCUUGGCCCUUAAGGAAUGAAUUCAUGCCUUAUAAAGGGGUAGAGGGAACUAACUUAGGCCCUUUUGCCCUUCCACCUUCCACAUAUGAGGAUACAGCAUUCAUGCCCUCCAGAGGACACAAGGCACCACCUUAGAAGUAAGGAACAGAGCCCCUUACCAGACACAAAAUGUGCCUGUGCCUUGAUCCUGGACUCCUCAGCCUCCAGAACGAAAAACUGAAAAAAAAAAUUCCACAUGAAGAAAAACAGUGGAUCCUAGACUCAUUGCCCAGAGGAGGACUAUGAACAUUCCACAUGAAGAAAAACAGUGGCUCCUAGACUCAUUGCCCAGAGGAAGACUAUGAACAUUCCAAAUGAAGAAAAACAGUGGCUCCUAGACUCAUUGCCCAGAGGAAGACUAUGAACAUUCCAAAUGAAGAAAAACAGUGGCUCCUAGACUCAUUGCCCAGAGGAAGACUAUUAACAUUCCACAUGAAGAAAAACAGUGGCUCCUAGACUCAUUGCCCAGAGGAGGACUAUGAAUAUUCCACAUGAAGAAAAACAGUGGCUCCUAGACUCAUUGCCCAGAGGAAGACUAUGAACAUUCCAAAUGAAGAAAAACAGUGGCUCCUAGACUCAUUGCCCAGAGGAAGACUAUGAACAUUCCAAAUGAAGAAAAACAGUGGCUCCUAGACUCAUUGCCCAGAGGAGGACUAUGAACAUUCCAAAUGAAGAAAAACAGUGGAUUCUAGACUCAUUGCCCAGAGAAAGACUAUGAACAUUCCAAAUGAAGAAAAACAGUGGAUCCUAGACUCACUGCCCAGAGGAGGACUAUGAACAUUCCAAAUGAAGAAAAACAGUGGAUCCUAGACUCAUUGCCCAGAGAAAGACUAUGAACAUUCCAAAUGAAGAAAAACAGUGGAUCCUAGACUCACUGCCCAGAGGAGGACUAUGAACAUCUUAGCAAGUCUCCCCUCAGGUUGUCCUAGAAUAGAUGUCUCUACGUAGUUAAUAAAAACAUACAUUCAAGUUUUGCAGCUUUUUGUUCCACUUUACAUUUUAAGUUGAACGUUUACACUUCCCAUUCCAAGAUCUUCAGAAACAUGUUUAGAAACAGAAGAAUAUCCCAACAACAGUCUGUUUAACCUCUUCCCCUAAUGCUGAACUAUUGUUGCUUUAAGCAUACAUUUUCUGUGUGUGUUUCAGAUGUAGUUUCCUUAGGAAAGAUUCUCUAUGCUGUGCAACAAUUCCCCAUGUGUCUCUUACAUUUCUGCACAUCUUGUGUCAGCAUUUGUUCUAGACCGUCUUUAUAAGGAUGUUUGUAUAGCUAAUAGCAUUGGAAGAUAGGGCUAAUAUAGUAGAAGACAGAUUUAUUUGCUGAUUAGGAUUAUAAUAAUAAUAUCUCCGGACCAGGCGCAGUGGCUCAUGCCUGUAAUCCCACCAAUUUGUGAGGCUGAGGCAGGCAGAUGACCUGAGGUUGGGAGUUCGAGACCAGCCUGGCUAAUAUGGUGAAACCCCCGUCUCUACUACAAACACUUAAAAAAUUAGCUGGGUGUGGUGGUGGGUGCCUGUAAUCCCAGCUACUUGGGAGACAGGUGGGAGAAUUGCUUGAACCCAAGAGGCAGGGGUUGCAAUGAGCUAAGAUCAUACCACUGCACUCCAACAUGGGUGUGACAGAGCAAGACUCUACCUCAAAAAAAACAAAAAACAAAAAAAGAAGAAGAAAAAGAAAAAGAAAGGAUUAUAAUGACAAUGUCUCCCUCCAUCCAGGGUAAAGGUUGAAAAGACCAAGAUUCCUAAACUUGGGGUUCCUCAGGUGUGAUGCAAAUCCACUGCAGGCACAGAUUCUACCUGGAUCCAUCCGUGUAUUACUCAUUUCUCACACUGCUAAUAAAAACAUACCCAAGGCUGGAUGUGGUGUCU
rnacentral:lncRNA from 10 species